ensembl:lncRNA
CCCACUCUGCGAUCCACUUGGGCUAAAGAUGCUUUCGGGAAACGGGGCUCAGCAGUCUUCUAGAGUCUUAGUCAGUGAUGUGUAUUCAGUAAAAAUUGUUUAAAAUGGAGCCGCCCCAGAGCAGACGAAGAAAAGACUGAAAAAAUAAAUAAAGAUGAAGUUAAAAGAAAUACAUAAAUACUAAUAAACAACCAGGCAGAAAACAGAUAAACAAACACACAUGAAACAGCGACUCUAGAAACAGCGCCCCAGUCCAAAUGAAAUCAUAUUUACACAUGGAGGACCAGAGAACAGACUUAUGUUAGCAACUACACACAGAAAUAGAGAUCAAGACGAGAACAUGAAUGAGAUAAGACGGUUAUGUCUAUAAUGUUGUAAACCUCUUGACCCUGUGUUUUAUUUAAUUGAAUUGUUCAGCGUUAGGAUGCAGAACCAAAGGCAGGUUGAGGUUUAAACACUUUUGACUGCAAGAAGAGAUGAAGAAACAACGUAGGAUAUUUCACAAACACAUCAAAGUCAUCCGGGUUGGAUGACUUUCCAAGGUAAUGACCAAGAGAGUUGUUUAUCUGUGUAAUUCAAUUCAAUUCAAAGUGUUUAUUGUCAUAUGCAUAAAUGAGACGUUCUCAGUUGUGCAAUGAAAUUCUUCCUUUGUUUCCACAGACUGAAUGCCAAGAUUUUUUUUUACAAGAUAGAUAGAACAAAUAAUACAUUUAAGUUAAAAUAAAUAAAUAAUGGUGUUGUAAUAAUUACUUGGAAGCCAGUUCCCAGGCAUAUUGCCCAGUAACUAGUCUGGGUGGUUAUCCCCUUGCCAUGACGUCUUCCCUGAGGUUGAAUAUAAAAGCAGGGGCCCCAAGAGCAGUAACCUCACCAACGAUUCCCUUUGCUGCAGAAGAACAGAACCAGUGAAGAUCAACCUUCUAGACAUGGCUCAAGUGAACUUUAAACUGGUGGUGACUGCUGAUGGCAAGAGUAUUGAAUACAAACCUACUACGGACUGCAACCAGAUACUCCUGUGGGCAUUGACAGAUUUGAAAGAUUCCGUCUCAAACUUCAGUUUCGAAUGUGGAAGCAAAUUUGGAAUGCCACCCUAUUUGACCCGGGUGACUUUUGGUAAUAAUAUUAUUACCAAAACUGAGAACAGCUUCUGGCAAGUUCUGGUCAAAAACCACAACAUGAUCACACCUGUUGGACUCUGCAACUACCGUGUCCAGGACAGUGACGUGAUCAUCCUGCGCCACAUGACCGUGUGAUCCUGACUGUGGCGCCAUCUUCCUUCAGGGUCCUGAAUAACACUGAGUGCUGCUCGACACUCAUUAAACAUGAUGAUCAUCUAAUCUGAAGAUAUCAAAUGUAAAAAUGUGUUUAAUUCAACAAAUGUAGAAAUGAUUUGGAAGUGAAUCAUAUAAAUUGGAAUAAAGGAUUGAAAUUAUCUCAUGCGUAUCAUUUCACUGUUUUUGCACACACUCACUCACAGUAACCAGCCCUCACUUCCUACCGUCCUAUCUCUUGGAUGUACACAAAAACAGAUCUUCACGUAUAUUUAUAUAGUUAUGAAGUUAUUAACAUGGUUCUUUAUAGUUAUUAUUAAUACAGAUAUAGAUAAUUAGCAUUAAUAUAGUUCCGUUUACAUUAAACUGCCUCCAUAAUAGAUUUUUUUCUUAAAAUAAGAUUUGUAAACGAAAUAGUACAAAACAUUACAUUUAAUUGAAUGUAUUCAUUUUUAACCAAACAGUAGAGGUUCAUUACCAUUUGAAAGCUGUGCAAAGAAUUUAUAUAUACAGAGAAAUGUCACAUAAUGCACAUAAAUCUUGUGUAUUCAAGGGUGUGUUUGUUUGUUUCUAUGCAGUGUGUGUGUGUGUGUGUGUGUGUGUGUGUGUGUGUGUGUGUGUGCGUGCUUUGGAAUGAAUAAGCAUGUGUUUUUGUGUGCGUGGUAUAUAGGAGUGUGUGUGUGUGUUAUAGGUUUUGUGUGUCUCACAAAAACAUGGGUGUUGCAACUUACUUCGGCUUUACUUUUGCUCACAAUUGCUUUGAAAGGCCUUGCCAGACCAUUGCAUAAUAGGAACUAUCAUCCGAUAUGUCUUUCGUCCUUCUACGUUAAGAUAUGUCUUUUGUCCCUCUACGUUAAUGUUUGCAGAUAGCGAGAAAAGAAAGUGUCGGAAAGAGAAUAUACGCUGUAUGCAAGAGUGCUCACCAAUACUUACCCUUCAUGCAGCAGUUGUCCAAUCAACCGCUGCAGUGUGUAAACUGUGUGACGACCUGGCUCCAGUGGUUAUCACGCAGGUUGCCGCAGGUGUUGAUGUCGUCCGUCAGAAUGGCCUCCUCAGCUCUGCUCUCGUUUCUCCUGCUGCUCUCUCUCUCAGGGAUGCUCGCCCAAAGUAAGCCUUGAAACGACUCCACACACAUUCAGACCUCCCUCCCCCCACCCGUUGGGUUCAAUGUGACAAUAGGUCAUUUUAGUUUUGUCUUUACGUGUUUUUGUCCUUAGUACCUGAAUAGUGACUGUGACUCAUUGUUUAGGACUUGAAGACCUUUAGAACUGUUUUCUAAAGGGUCGCCAGGUUUUGAGUUGAGUUGAGCAUUAUCGUACUUUCUUUGGAAACCUCACUGAACAUAAACAAAGUAGCCACUCCUUGUCCACAACAUGACACCGUUCUAUGGUGAGUUUGGUCUUCAAUGAUCCACCAACUGUGACCAGAUGGAGGCCAGCUGCCCUUCAACCUGGUGGUGGUGGACGACCUACCCAACAGCAAACCAAUGAUGUACUCCGCACAGAGGCCUUCUGAACGGGCCCAUGAUCAGGCUCGCAAGGUCAGCCCACUCACAAAUCAUGAUUGUUUUGGAAGCCUCACUGAACACACAACAUAGAACCCACUCCUUGUCCACAACAUGGCGCUGUUCUGUGGUGAGUUUUACUUUCCAAAUGAAAAACAAUCGUUCAGUUAAAAAAAUAUAUAUUAAGUCACUUCUUGCUAUGGAUCUUAACUAAAACUCCCUGCUGAGAGACUUGACUUGGACUCCCUGCUGACUGACUCCCUUCAGAUACUGGAAAGCAAACAUUUAUUUUACGA